GCCCACCGCGCGCGCCGCGGCCUUUGGGAACCCCGGGCGCGCCGGCGCGCCGGGGUGGUCGAGCUGCGGUCGCCGAGCUGCUCGGAGCAUGGAGCGGAUCCCGGCUGUGGGCCUGGGCACCUGGCAGGCGGCUCCAGGGGAAGUGACAGAGGCAGUGAAAUUGGCCAUCGACGCCGGAUAUCGGCACUUCGACUGCGCUUACUUAUACCACAAUGAGAGUGAGAUCGGAGCCGGGAUCCAGUGCAAGAUCAAGGAGGGUGUGGUGAAACGCACGGACCUGUUUAUCGUCAGUAAGGGGCAGACGUUGUGGUCACCCUGGCUUCCCCCCUCCCCUCGGCAGCUGUGGUGCACCAGCCAUCAGAAGUCCUUGGUGAAAGCAGCGUGCGCCAAGAGUCUGAAGGCCUUGAAGCUGGAUUACUUGGACCUCUACCUCAUACACUGGCCCAUGGGUUUCAAGCCCGGGGAGGAAGACAUGCCCUUGGACCGCAGCGGCAUGGUGAUACCCAGUGACACCGACUUCCUGGACACGUGGGAGGCCAUGGAGGACCUGGUGGUUAUGGGGCUGGUGAAAGCCAUCGGGGUGUCAAACUUCAACCACGAGCAGCUUGAGAGACUUCUGAAUAAACCCAACUUGAGAUUCAAGCCAAUCACUAACCAGAUUGAGUGCCACCCGUAUCUUACCCAGAAGGAUCUGAUCCGUUUUUGCCAGUCCAGAGAUGUGUCCGUGACCGCGUACCGGCCCCUCGGUGGUUCCAGUGAGGGGGUGGACCUGCUGGAUGACCCCGUGAUUCAGAGGGUGGCCCGGAAGUACAACAAGUCUCCAGCCCAGAUUUUGCUCCGAUUUCAGAUCCAGAGGAAUGUGAUAGUGAUCCCCAAAUCAGUCACCCCAAAGCGGAUUCUUGAGAAUAUCCAGGUGUUUGACUUCGAAUUAUCAGAACAGGAUAUGAACAACAUCCUCGGCCUGGACAGGAACUUCCGAAUGUGCAGGUUACCCAUAGCUGAAAACCACAAGGACUAUCCUUUCAACAUAGACUACUGAGCAUGGCUCCCCGCUUCGUCCUCCUGCUGCCCGGACAGGUGCCCCAGAAUUUUUCUAUUUAACAAAGUAAUUCUGCCGGAUUCAGAAUGCAAAGAGAACGGAAAAAAGCUCAAUUAUAGAAAGCAAAAAUGGCCUAAAACAGCAGUAUCUAAGAAGAAUCAUCUUUCUAGUGGCUCCUUCUAAUCUUUGCCCAUGUCCACGACAUUAUGUAGAUAAACAAAUUACAUAAGGAAAAAAAGGAUUACACAUUUGUAAGUGGUUUUUUGACUAGGACCACUUGGAAUAGCAACACCAUGGCAAAUACCAGGAAGCCGAGAAACACUCGGCCCCACAGAGCUGGGGUGGAGGACGCGUGCACACGG